rnacentral:rRNA from 1 species
CCUACGGGAGGCAGCAGUCGGGAAUAUUGCGCAAUGGAGGAAACUCUGACGCAGUGACGCCGCGUAUAGGAAGAAGGUCUUCGGAUUGUAAACUAUUGUCGUUAGGGAAGAAAAAGGACAGUACCUAAGGAGGAAGCUCCGGCUAACUACGUGCCAGCAGCCGCGGUAAUACGUAGGGGGCAAGCGUUAUCCGGAUUUACUGGGUGUAAAGGGAGCGUAGACGGUUAUGUAAGUCUGGAGUGAAAGCCCGGGGCCCAACCCCGGGACUGCUUUGGAAACUGUGUAACUGGAGUACAGGAGGGGCAGGCGGAAUUCCUGGUGUAGCGGUGAAAUGCGUAGAUAUCAGGAGGAACACCGGCGGCGAAGGCGGCCUGCUGGACUGAAACUGACGUUGAGGCUCGAAAGCGUGGGGAGCAAACAGGAUUAGAUACCCUAGUAGUC